CACGCCGUAAACGAUGAAUACUAGGUGUCGGGGAGCAAAGCUCUUCGGUGCCGCCGCAAACGCAAUAAGUAUUCCACCUGGGGAGUACGUUCGCAAGAAUGAAACUCAAAGGAAUUGACG
rnacentral:rRNA from 1 species